rnacentral:misc_RNA from 1 species
UUCGUUCUGUCUAGUUUCUUGGUUAUGCCACUGCAUUCAAAGUUUAGGUUUCAGGGGGAGUAUUUCAAGUAGUAACUAUCUCAGUUGCUGAUUGACCACGUAAAGGGGUGUAUGAAGAGUCCCAAGUCUAAAACAUAAAAGAAUUCGAUGGGUUUAUAAGGUCAAGGGCAUUAACCAAAUAGUUAGUUCUUGCAUUUUAACAAUGGUUGGUCUAAACCUAAUUAGCAAGCCCAAUCUUCAUAUUUUAUGGACUCUUGAAUCUAGCUCAUUCAUUCAUCUCUACCCUUUCAGUUCAGUGAUAAUAUUACUAUUUACUUAGAAGUGUGAGUUUAUCAUUACUUACUUGUGUUUGUUGUUUGUAUAUAAAUAGGUAUGAGU